CAUGCUUGCCUGAACAAGACCUGCCCAAGGUCAAGCCAGUUACCACCAGUCCAGCACAGAUGCCUGAAGGUCACACAAGGCCCCGCCCCCAUCUGAGGAGCUGUGGACGGUGGCUGCUGGAGGAGGGAGAGACCGUUUUCUUGGCUGACCAUGCUCCAGCAGAUGACCCUGGACUCAUGCUUCUAUGGUCAUCAUUCAUCGGACUCAGGAGGACCAUCACCACUACCACCAUUACCACCGUAAUCACCAUCAUCCCUGUGAUCAUCGUCACUACUGUAGUCGUCACCACAGUAGCCAUCAUCAUCACCGCCACCAUCACCAUCACCACUGUAAUCGCCAUCAUCACUGUAACCAUCACCACCACCCUCUAUCUAGCUCUGUCUUUCACACUCGGCAGUCACAUGCCAAGCUGGAGGGCCCGCACAUGCUUUUCUACACCUUUCACGAUUCUCUGCUCGUCACAUCCAAAUCAGGACAGGGUCAGAGUCAAGAAAAAUGCUGGAACUCCAUAA
rnacentral:lncRNA from 1 species